rnacentral:rRNA from 2 species
GAGUUUGAUCUUGGCUCAGAUUGAACGCUGGCGGCAGGCCUAACACAUGCAAGUCGAGCGGAUGACGGGAGCUUGCUCCUUGAUUCAGCGGCGGACGGGUGAGUAAUGCCUAGGAAUCUGCCUGGUAGUGGGGGACAACGUUUCGAAAGGAACGCUAAUACCGCAUACGUCCUACGGGAGAAAGCAGGGGACCUUCGGGCCUUGCGCUAUCAGAUGAGCCUAGGUCGGAUUAGCUAGUUGGUGGGGUAAUGGCUCACCAAGGCGACGAUCCGUAACUGGUCUGAGAGGAUGAUCAGUCACACUGGAACUGAGACACGGUCCAGACUCCUACGGGAGGCAGCAGUGGGGAAUAUUGGACAAUGGGCGAAAGCCUGAUCCAGCCAUGCCGCGUGUGUGAAGAAGGUCUUCGGAUUGUAAAGCACUUUAAGUUGGGAGAAGGGCAGUAAGUUAAUACCUUGCUGUUUUGACGUUACCGACAGAAUAAGCACCGGCUAACUCUGUGCCAGCAGCCG